UAAUACGUAGGUGGCAAGCGUUGUCCGGAAUUAUUGGGCGUAAAGCGCGCGCAGGCGGCUUCUUAAGUCUGAUGUGAAAUCUUGCGGCUCAACCGCAAGCGGUCAUUGGAAACUGGGAGGCUUGAGUGCAGAAGAGGAGAGUGGAAUUCCACGUGUAGCGGUGAAAUGCGUAGAGAUGUGGAGGAACACCAGUGGCGAAGGCGGCUCUCUGGUCUGUAACUGACGCUGAGGCGCGAAAGCGUGGGGAGCAAACAGGAUUAGAUACCCUGGUAGUCCACGCCGUAAACGAUGAGUGCUAAGUGUUAGAGGGUUUCCGCCCUUUAGUGCUGCAGCUAACGCAUUAAGCACUCCGCCUGGGGAGUACGGCCGCAAGGCUGAA
rnacentral:rRNA from 1 species